rnacentral:rRNA from 1 species
GAUGAACGCUGGCGGCGUGCCUAAUACAUGCAAGUCGAGCGAACGGACGAGAAGCUUGCUUCUCUGAUGUUAGCGGCGGACGGGUGAGUAACACGUGGAUAACCUACCUAUAAGACUGGGAUAACUUCGGGAAACCGGAGCUAAUGCCGGAUAAUAUUUUGAACCGCAUGGUUCAAAAGUGAAAGACGGUCUUGCUGUCACUUAUAGAUGGAUCCGCGCUGCAUUAGCUAGUUGGUAAGGUAACGGCUUACCAAGGCAACGAUGCAUAGCCGGCCUGAGAGGGUGAUCGGCCACACUGGAGCUGAGACACGGUCCAGAGUCCUACGGGAGGCAGCAGUAGGGAAUCUUCCGCAAUGGGCGAAAGCCUGACGGAGCAACGCCGCGUGAGUGAUGAAGGUCUUCGGAUCGUAAAACUCUGUUAUUAGGGAAGAACAGAUGUGUAAGUAACUGUGCACAUCUUGACGGUACCUAAUCAGAAAGCCACGGCUAACUACGUG